CAGCCGCCGCGGGAAUACGGAGGGGGCUAGCGUUGUUCGGAAUUACUGGGCGUAAAGCGCACGUAGGCGGCUUGGUAAGUUAGAGGUGAAAGCCCGGAGCUCAACUCCGGAAUUGCCUUUAAGACUGCCGGGCUAGCAGGUGAGAGAGGUAAGUGGAAUUCCGAGUGUAGAGGUGAAAUUCGUAGAUAUUCGGAAGAACACCAGUGGCGAAGGCGGCUUACUGGCUCAUACUGGACGCUGAGGUGCGAAAGCGUGGGGAGCAAACAGGAUUAGAUACCCCCGUAGUCCCUGUCUCUUAUAA
rnacentral:rRNA from 1 species